rnacentral:rRNA from 1 species
CCCGAAACCUAGCGAGCUAUCCAUGUGCAGGAUGAAGUUUCAGUUACAUGAAAUGGAGGUCCGAACCCGUAUUGGUUGAAAACAGUUGGGAUGACAUGUGGAUUGGAGUGAAAGGCUAAUCAAGCUGGGAAAUAGCUGGUUCUUUCCGAAAUAUAUUUAGGUAUAGCCUUGAUGGAUGACAUAAUGGGGUAAAGCACAGUUUAAUUUUUGGGGUCGCAAGAUUACCAAAGUUUUACUAACUCUGAAUACGUUAUGUUUAGAAAUCAGGAGACAGGCUACGAGAGAUAAGUUCCGUGGCCAAAAGGGAAACAGCCCAGACCAUCAAUUAAGGUCCCCAAGUGUCUAUUGAGUGAAAAAGAUGUGAAAAUACACAGACAGUCAGGAGGUUGGCUUAGAGGCAGCCAUCCUUUAAAGAAAGCGUAAUAGCUCACUGACUAAGUGUUUUUGCGCUGAAGUAUAAACGGG